rnacentral:rRNA from 1 species
CGGCUAACUCCGUGCCAGCAGCCGCGGUAAUACGGAGGAUCCAAGCGUUAUCCGGAUUCAUUGGGUUUAAAGGGUCCGUAGGCGGAUUUUUAAGUCAGUGGUGAAAGCCCACAGCUCAACUGUGGAACUGCCAUUGAUACUGGAAGUCUUGAGUUUGGUUGAAGUUGGCGGAAUACGUCAUGUAGCGGUGAAAUGCAUAGAUAUGACGUAGAACACCGAUUGCGAAGGCAGCUGACUAAGUCAAUACUGACGCUGAGGGACGAAAGCGUGGGGAGCGAACAGGAUUAGAUACCCUGG